AGAUCAGUGUUGUAAUCCCGUCGACGAUACUAUCCGAUACUAUCCAAACAGUGCUAUUUUCUCCAAAGAGAUGGCACCACUGUACGCGCCAGCUUUUAUCUUUCGCGGGAAGUAUGGACGGGGAAAUUGCACGUAUCUCCAUCGGAAAUGUGAAACAAGAACAACCAGCAGUAACUCACUUGAUGCCCUGCAAAAUUGACCACGAUGGGAAAUGCAAUGUAGCAGCUUAUUUCACACAUACGAUUAAUCAUAAUGAAGCAUCCUUUAGAGGCAGACCUCUAAGAGGACAAGAUGUCAGACUACCAAAUGGUUACACAGGCAUAUGUCUCCGAGAAGCCACACCAGUUUAUGCUGAGGGCAGUGAAGACAAGGUGCAUCGUCGUUUUCACAUCACUGGAGAAUUUAGUCAGUUCACCUACUGGAAUCUUGACAAGGAAACUACGGACGACGAUGCUGUCAUCAAGGCUCUUAAUUGGGUUGAACUUGCAUCCGUGAUACAUGCCCCAUUGGAUUGUUCAUUGAAGGAUGGGUGUUCACAGCCAAAUACAACAAAGAAAUCUUCCUGUGUUUAAUAUCACUGAUGCAAACACUUAGGAUGCUACAUAUCCAAAACCAGAAUAGUCUUAAAUAGAUACAAUUUCACAGUGGAUGUGAGAUGCUACGUACAUGACUGGAAGUGAAUGGGAGUGGUUCAUUCUGAUUGGCUGAUAGUAAUCACAUGAGCACAUCGGAUCUUUACUCGUUGAGCGAGAGGCUCUUCGCAAUGAAUAAUGUGAAUCAUCAAAUAAUUGUUUAUUUUUCAUAAGGCAGGGUUCUCAAUAAAUUUAUAGAAAUAAUUCAAGCAUUAUAUUGA
rnacentral:misc_RNA from 1 species